rnacentral:lncRNA from 1 species
ACUCGGUACCAAGAUUGCGGACAUUGCCUUUGACUCUAUCGUAUUCAUAAUCACCUUCAGCACCAAGAAAUCAUUCUUCCUCACUAAUCCCUAUAUUACACUAGAAAUUGAAAGCACAAUUGAAAGGAUGGGAGGGUUCGGAUGGAGGAUGAAGGAAUUGGGUUGGGCCAGGAAACUUGCUUGACUGUAAAGCAAGGAUUUAUACGUGAAGGGAGAACACAAGAAGGUCACAAAUUUUGAAAAUGGAUUACUUCUGGGUUGGACACAUUGGGUGUAUGUGAUUGAUUCGAGGAGCAUUGGUGUGAUUGAUGGAUGGUUGCUAUUCGUUAAAUCGGUAAAAACGUCCCAUAUGUAUAAAGAAUGAUUCAAGAUGUUGGGAUAUUAGUAGACGGUUGAAAUCGGAUUGCCUAACCUAGGAGUAUUUGGUGAUUCUCCAAUUUUCCUCCUCCUAAGAUGCUGGUUGGGUCCAACAAGAUCCAAGCCAGAUUGGAUCUUCAUCUCUUUGUGAACCACUUCAAAGCAGGUCCCUUCGGCUUCUUAGUAUCAUAAUUAGUAAAAAAGUUUGCUAGAUGGAGAAAGGGAUUUGAGGCAUUGUCCUCAUAGUUGAAGGAAGAAAGGUAAUAUAUUUUUGUUUUCUAGUAGGAAGAAUUAAAUUUCAUUAAAGGAGAAGGAAACAUAUAAUAUAACAUGGAUAAGAUGUUAAGUUCCCCAAUCACAAUAUCCUUUAUUCAAGAUAAGCCAACAUUAGGCUGGUCUCGAUAAAAGACUUCUGGAGACCACCAAUGAAACCCUAGGGCAUGAGAGUAGUGAAGACUAAGUACUCAUUUGGUUUGUGGAAAGAUUUUUUCUCAUUGGAAUGUUUUUUUGGGAAGCUGAUGCCUGAGUAUAUGAUGCUUAAAAAAAUGGUUUUUACAUGUUUGAUUGACCAUGAAAAAGUGGCACAUUUCAGAGUGGCUUGUGUUUGGUAAAACACCUAUUUUUCUGAAAAAAUUAUAUAAAAUACCUGUUAUGCCCUUAAUAAAGGAAAAGACCUUACCCCAUUCUAUCUAAAAGCUUAAGAGCACUUUUAAAAAAAAAAGAUACUCGGUACCAAGAUUGCGGACAUUGCCUUUGACUCUAUCGUAUUCAUAAUCACCUUCAGCACCAAGAAAUCAUUCUUCCUCACUAAUCCCUAUAUUACACUAGAAAUUGAAAGCACAAUUGAAAGGAUGGGAGGGUUCGGAUGGAGGAUGAAGGAAUUGGGUUGGGCCAGGAAACUUGCUUGACUGUAAAGCAAGGAUUUAUACGUGAAGGGAGAACACAAGAAGGUCACAAAUUUUGAAAAUGGAUUACUUCUGGGUUGGACACAUUGGGUGUAUGUGAUUGAUUCGAGGAGCAUUGGUGUGAUUGAUGGAUGGUUGCUAUUCGUUAAAUCGGUAAAAACGUCCCAUAUGUAUAAAGAAUGAUUCAAGAUGUUGGGAUAUUAGUAGACGGUUGAAAUCGGAUUGCCUAACCUAGGAGUAUUUGGUGAUUCUCCAAUUUUCCUCCUCCUAAGAUGCUGGUUGGGUCCAACAAGAUCCAAGCCAGAUUGGAUCUUCAUCUCUUUGUGAACCACUUCAAAGCAGGUCCCUUCGGCUUCUUAGUAUCAUAAUUAGUAAAAAAGUUUGCUAGAUGGAGAAAGGGAUUUGAGGCAUUGUCCUCAUAGUUGAAGGAAGAAAGGUAAUAUAUUUUUGUUUUCUAGUAGGAAGAAUUAAAUUUCAUUAAAGGAGAAGGAAACAUAUAAUAUAACAUGGAUAAGAUGUUAAGUUCCCCAAUCACAAUAUCCUUUAUUCAAGAUAAGCCAACAUUAGGCUGGUCUCGAUAAAAGACUUCUGGAGACCACCAAUGAAACCCUAGGGCAUGAGAGUAGUGAAGACUAAGUACUCAUUUGGUUUGUGGAAAGAUUUUUUCUCAUUGGAAUGUUUUUUUGGGAAGCUGAUGCCUGAGUAUAUGAUGCUUAAAAAAAUGGUUUUUACAUGUUUGAUUGACCAUGAAAAAGUGGCACAUUUCAGAGUGGCUUGUGUUUGGUAAAACACCUAUUUUUCUGAAAAAAUUAUAUAAAAUACCUGUUAUGCCCUUAAUAAAGGAAAAGACCUUACCCCAUUCUAUCUAAAAGCUUAAGAGCACUUUUAAAAAAAAAAUCUCCAAUUUCCAGCCGAUGGGUAUAGGACUUUCCUAUAUCCCACAGAGUUUUCCUUCCCAUAAAAUGUGGGAAUCUUAUCCCUAUGGAAAAACUACUUUUUCAUCUUUUUUCUUUGAAAACUGCAACCAAACAUGAAACAUUUCUCCAUUUUUUCAUUAAUCGCACUUUUUCCUCGCCUCUUCCUACGAACCAAAUGAGUUCUAAAGAAUACACGAUAGCCAAAGUAUCGGACAACAUAGAGGGGGGGAGAGAUACAAAAGAAAUCCAAGUCAAAGAGAGGACCGAAGAAAGGUGGGGGUGGGGCAUCUACUUGGGCAAAGAGGCCAGCGAUGGGCUAGGCUGGCCAUACGAGCUGAAUGGUGGGUGAGGUUAGCCAAAUGAGGUAGGUGGCCAUGUGGACAGGGCAACUGAGACUAGGGGUGCACAAAGAUGGAGGGAGAAUGAGGAAAGAGAUUUGUGAAAUUCAUGAUUCUUUGUUGGCUUCAAUUAGCUUGAUGCCUAGCCUAUUUUCCCCCGAAAGCUUUGCCAACCGAGGCUAAAAUGGUUUUUAGCACAUGCAAGAUUGAGGUAUCAUAACUAGACCUAUCAUGGGUUGGACGGUCUGCCAGGCCCGCUCGAGCCCGACAUAUUUUGGACAGGCCUGGGCCUAGAUUUUAAGCUUGACGGGCUGGGCUAGGCCGGGCUUGAAAUAUGAACCCAUUUGUUAAAAUGAGCCGAGCUCGAAUUUAGUUUGGCACGACCCUAUCUGAAUCUUAUAUAAUAUAUAAUGUAUACUUAUGCUUUAAGAAUAUGGUUUUGGUGACCAAAAAAAUAUUAAUAGCUCUCUUCCAUGCACCAAUACUCCUUAUGAACAACCAUAAACACAAGUUCAUGAGCCUUACUAAUCCCUUUCAAAUAUUUAAUCUUUGAAAGAAUUUUUAUAUUGAAAAAAGGGUCCAAGAAGCCCAAAAGCCGGCCCAAAGCCUGAAGCCUGAGUAAAAUGCAAAACACAAAGGGAGUAUAUAUAGAAUUACCUAACCAUUAAUACAUUUUUUUGAAUACCCCUUCUCACAAUUUCAUCAAACUUACCUAUCUCAAUUGUUUCCAUACCACCUCACCCUCACUUAUUCUAGCUUUGAUACUAAAUCCAAUACACCAAUUAGAGUAAAUUACACCGACCCCCUCAAUGUUUGGGGUAGUUACAAAUUCCCAGCCAAUAUUUGAGAAAUAAUCAUUCCACUACCUAACUUUUGCUAUGUGUAUAACACAUAACCCCCUACCAUUAUUUUAUGUUAAAUAAGCUAAUGGACCUUGCUGAUGUCAUCACUC